CUGAUUUUCUUCUAUUAUGGAAAUGGCUUUCAUGAUGGACUUAGGAGGAGGUCAAGUAAUAAUUUGCACACUAGGUUUGCUGUCAAAGAGGAGAUACUUGCGUUUAUUUUGGGAAAGAAAUUAUGGAUUACCAGUGUCCAGGAGUAAGGUUUUAGAUUUUCUCCAGAAGCAUAACAGAGAAAAGAUUUAAAAAUUUACGUUCACUGAUUUUAAUUCCUUUGUAACCACUAGUUUUCUUUCUUCCUUAGAUGCAGAAUCCUGAUACACUAUCAGCAAUGUCAAACCCUAGAGCAAUGCAGGCCUUGUUACAGAUUCAGCAGGGUUUACAGACAUUAGCAACGGAAGCCCCGGGCCUCAUCCCAGGGUUUACUCCUGGCUUGGGGGCAUUAGGAAGCACUGGAGGCUCUUCGGGAACUAAUGGAUCUAACGCCACACCUAGUGAAAACACAAGUCCCACAGCAGGAACCACUGAACCUGGACAUCAGCAGUUUAUUCAGCAGAUGCUGCAGGCUCUUGCUGGAGUAAAUCCUCAGCUACAGAAUCCAGAAGUCAGAUUUCAGCA
rnacentral:sRNA from 1 species